AUUGAACGCUGGCGGCAGGCCUAACACAUGCAAGUCGAGCGGAUGAAGGGAGCUUGCUCCUGGAUUCAGCGGCGGACGGGUGAGUAAUGCCUGGGAAUCUGCCUGGUAGUGGGGGAUAACGUCCGGAAACGGGCGCUAAUACCGCAUACGUCCUGAGGGAGAAAGUGGGGGAUCUUCGGACCUCACGCUAUCAGAUGAGCCUAGGUCGGAUUAGCUAGUUGGUGGGGUAAGGGCCUACCAAGGCGACGAUCCGUAACUGGUCUGAGAGGAUGAUCAGUCACACUGGAACUGAGACACGGUCCAGACUCCUACGGGAGGCAGCAGUGGGGAAUAUUGGACAAUGGGCGAAAGCCUGAUCCAGCCAUGCCGCGUGUGUGAAGAAGGUCUUCGGAUUGUAAAGCACUUUAAGUUGGGAGGAAGGGCAGUAAGUUAAUACCUUGCUGUUUUGACGUUACCAACAGAAUAAGCACCGGCUAACUUCGUG
rnacentral:rRNA from 1 species